rnacentral:rRNA from 1 species
GGAAUUUUGCGCAAUGGACGAAAGCCUGACGCAGCAUCGCCGCGUGAUUGAAUAAGCCCUUCGAGGUGUAAAGAUCUGUCAGUAGGGACGAAACUUGACGGUACCUACAGAGGAAGCAUCGGCUAACUCCGUGCCAGCAGCCGCGGUAAUACGGGGGAUGCGAGCGUUGUCCGGAAUCAUUGGGCGUAAAGAGUUCGUAGGUGGUUUGUUAAGUUAGGUGUUAAAUUCUGAGGCUCAACUUCAGUAUGGCACUUGAUACUGGCAGACUAGAAUGCGGUAGAGGUAAAGGGAAUUCCUGGUGUAGCGGUGAAAUGCGUAGAUAUCAGGAGGAACAUCGGUGGCGUAAGCGCUUUACUGGGCCGUAAUUGACACUGAGGAACGAAAGCCGGGGUAGCAAAUG